rnacentral:rRNA from 1 species
UGGGGAAUUUUGGACAAUGGGGGAAACCCUGAUCCAGCCAUCCCGCGUGUGCGAUGAAGGCCUUCGGGUUGUAAAGCACUUUUGGCAGGAAAGAAACGUCGCGGGUUAAUACCCCGCGAAACUGACGGUACCUGCAGAAUAAGCACCGGCUAACUACGUGCCAGCAGCCGCGGUAAUACGUAGGGUGCAAGCGUUAAUCGGAAUUACUGGGCGUAAAGCGUGCGCAGGCGGUUCGGAAAGAAAGAUGUGAAAUCCCAGAGCUUAACUUUGGAACUGCAUUUUUAACUACCGGGCUAGAGUGUGUCAGAGGGAGGUGGAAUUCCGCGUGCAGCAGUGAAAUGCGUAGAUAUGCGGAGGAACACCGAUGGCGAAGGCAGCCUCCUGGGAUAACACUGACGCUCAUGCACGAAAGCGUGGGGAGCAAACAGGAUUAGAUACCCUGGUAGUCCACGCCCUAAACGAUGUCAACUAGCUGUUGGGGCCUUCGGGCCUUGGUAGCGCAGCUAACGCGUGAAGUUGACCGCCUGGGGAGUACGGUCGCAAGAUUAAAACUCAAAGGAAUU